rnacentral:rRNA from 1 species
UGCCCCCUGAUGAAAAUUGAAGGGCUGCAGUAUUUUGACUGUACAAAGGUAGCAUAAUAAUUAGUCAUUUAAUUAAUGACUUGUAUGAAGGAUUGGAUGAAAUAUAAACUGUCUUAAUAAUAAUAAAUAGAAUUUAAUUUUUUAAUUAAAAAGUUAAAAUGAAAUAAAAAGACGAGAAGACCCUAUAGAGUUUUAUUUAUUGUUAAAUAAAAAUUUUAUAUUAAUUUAUUAAUUUUAAUUUAAUUAUAAAUUUUAUUGGGGUGAUAAAAAAAUAAAAAUAACUUUUUUUUUAUUAAACAUAGAUAAAUGAUUAUAUGAUCCAAUUUUAUUGAUUAAAAGAAAAAAUUACCUUAGGGAUAACAGCGUAAUUUUUUUUUCUAGUUCUUAUAGAAAAAAAAGUUUGCGACCUCGAUGUUGGAUUAAGAUAAAAUUUAAAUGCAGAAGUUUAAAGUUUUGA